UACUUAGUCAACAUAUUGUUUAUACAUUAUAAAUUAUGAACAAUAUUAUAUGGGUGACUUUAUAACGCGGUAUUUUUGAUGUGAUAAAAUAAAACGUGUACAUAUACUCAUAAAAAUUAAGCUUAUAUUACCAACUUUUGUAAUGUAAGAAUGAGCCACAAGCGCUUCACACAAAUUUAAAAUCACAACUGCCAAGGUACACGUGCAGGUAAUACGACAGAAGCUAUGAAAUAACAACCAGAGUGAAUCGAACGUCUUUGGUCGCCUUUGUACUCGCGUGGUCGCCGACCACGAGCCGAGACUCAAUAAAGCCGGAGCGACGUGGAUUUCUUAUCAUAUAUACAUUAAUAUUAACCACGUUCUGGCAGAAUUUAAUGAUAAUAAUAAUAAUUAUUGGCAAAACCAAAAUUAAAGAGGAAAAAGGCUUUAUACUAAAUGUAGGGCCGAGAAAUCCGAUAGGCAUAAAACUCGGGAAAAAUGAGUAACAAAAAAAAGGAAUAAUAGAUUUACACGUAUACAAAAUACAUACAUACCUAUAUAUAAUAUACUAUCUAUAACCUAAACUAUGCGAGCCGCUUUUUCGACACCCCUGAUAUAUAUACACAACUUAGUACAUAUCCACCGGCUCUUAUGGAUAGUCACCGGGAUUAUACAAUAAUAAUUUAAAUAUAGCGAUAUUGAUAAUCGUGCUAAAAUAAUGGGAAUAAUGCAGAUAUUACAAAGAUAGUGUUCUUCAUAAGACCAAUAAUAAUAAUAAUAUGUAAUAAAAAACUUAACAGGUAACCGGCAACGUUGAAUUUGGAAAAUAUAUACAAGGUAAUUGAUGUACUAUAUUAUAUAUUGAUGUACUGUAUUAAAUGUAAAUACCUACUCGA